rnacentral:rRNA from 1 species
CGGCGAGUGAAGCGGCAACAGCUCAAAUUUGAAAUCUGGCGUCUUCGGCGUCCGAGUUGUAAUUUGUAGAGGGAGUCUCGGGUGGAGGUCCGGUCCAAGUACCUUGGAACAGGAUGCCAGAGAGGGUGAGAGUCCCGUAUCCGGCUGGACACGUCCCCCGUGUGAGGCCCCUUCGACGAGUCGAGUUGUUUGGGAAUGCAGCUCUAAAUGGGUGGUAAAUUCCAUCUAAAGCUAAAUACCGGCCAGAGACCGAUAGCGCACAAGUAGAGUGAUCGAAAGAUGAAAAGCACUUUGAAAAGAGAGUCAAACAGUACGUGAAAUUGUUGAAAGGGAAGCGUAUACGGCCAGACUUGGCCGCGGAGGUUCAAGCCGUCUUCUGGCGGGUGCACUCCUCCGCGGACAGGCCAGCAUCGGUUUGGGCGGCCGGACAAAGGCGUCGGGAAAGUGGCACCUCUCGGGGUGUGUUAUAGCCCGGCGCGACAUGCGGCC